GACGAACGCUGGCGGCGUGCCUAAUACAUGCAAGUAGAACGCUGAAGAGAGGAGCUUGCUCUUCUUGGAUGAGUUGCGAACGGGUGAGUAACGCGUAGGUAACCUGCCUUGUAGCGGGGGAUAACUAUUGGAAACGAUAGCUAAUACCGCAUAACAAUGGAUGACACAUGUCAUUUAUUUGAAAGGGGCAAUUGCUCCACUACAAGAUGGACCUGCGUUGUAUUAGCUAGUAGGUGAGGUAAUGGCUCACCUAGGCGACGAUACAUAGCCGACCUGAGAGGGUGAUCGGCCACACUGGGACUGAGACACGGCCCAGACUCCUACGGGAGGCAGCAGUAGGGAAUCUUCGGCAAUGGGGGCAACCCUGACCGAGCAACGCCGCGUGAGUGAAGAAGGUUUUCGGAUCGUAAAGCUCUGUUGUAAGUCAAGAACGGGUGUGAGAGUGGAAAGUCCACACUGUGACGGUAGCUUACCAGAAAGGGACGGCUAACUACGUG
rnacentral:rRNA from 1 species